UCAUCUCUCUCUCAAACAAACUCAAAAACCUCCAUAGUUUCUUCUACCUUCAAUCUUUCAUAAACCUUUCAAUUUUUGUCCAAAUCAAGUGAAAUUUUGGUCUAACUUGACUAAUUUUUCCCAAGAUUGUUGAUUUUGACAAAAGAUCUCUGAGAAAACGCACUUUUAGGGCCCGAAUUUGAAACCCUAGUUCGAGAUUAUUUGGGGGUUUUGGAGUUUUCGGUUUCACAAGCACUCUUGCAUCUUGAAACAAAGGUGCAUUUCGGGGGAUAAGAGAUGGAUUAAAUGCAGCAUUGGAGGCUUUGGUGAUGAACGGGUCAAGCGUGGAAUAAGAGACGAAAGAAAGAAGAAUAUUCAGGUCAUCACCAUAAAUUACGGUCCCACCGUAAUUUACGGUGGACCUGAAAAUCAAUUGGUUCCCACCGUAGCACAGACUAUUCCCACCGUAACACUUUUAUGUUCACCGUAAAUUACGGUGAUGCCGUAAAUUACGGUGAUGCCGUAAUUUACGGUGGAGUCUGCGAGAAAAACUUGUAACUGCCACUUUUAAGUUAGUUUUGGGGUGUCUUUUCAUGAUUCAUCAUCAUUGGACGGUUUUGGAUCAUCAUUGGGGCGAUUUUUGGCUGUUUGCUUGGUUUGUGAACAAUUCUUAUCAUCCGGUUUGUAUUUUCGAAUUGUAGGAACAUUGGUUUGAUUAUGAUGAUGAUUCACCGAGCCAUGUCCGGCUAAACUCUUCGGUGAUCAUCUUAGGUGAAUGUUUCUUGAA